GGAUAUGAGAGUGAUCUGACUGUGAUCUUAUGCCUCACUGAUUGAGGGUUGAUUUGUCUGAUCUGGCUGGAUAGGCAGGUGUCCUUUUCCUCUCUCACUGCUCCAUGUGUGUCCCUCCCAAAGUUGGACACUUGUCUGAAAGAAUGACUUUCCCUGAUAGAAGAGGACUGUUCUUUGGUCAAGGUUAUAGAAGUAGCUACCCUCCCCUUUUAUUUAUUUAUUUUGGAGUUGGAGUCUCACUCUGUCGCCCAGACUGGAGUGCAGUGGCUUCGCUCCCGGCCACCGCAGCCUCAACCUGCUGGGCUCCGGCGAUCCUUCCGCCUCAGCCUUCCAAGUAGCCGGAACUGCAGGCGCGA
rnacentral:snRNA from 1 species